AGGCUUUUUGUAGUUGCACAGAACACUGUGUGUUUGCCCAUAGAGUACGAAUCUAUAUAGAGACACCAUUUGCUCUGCCGCUCACUUUGUUAGACUUUGCCAAUGAUGCCACACAGGCGAUAAACGAUAAUUUCCCUCGUAUUUCGUUCCCGCGUUAGCUUCAAACCUAACCUUGAAUUGGCUCUCAGCACAGGUUGGGCAGAGGUUCGGGCAGAGCAAGUGGUGUAGAUUCUUACUCUAUGGUUUGCCAGCGAGUUCAUGUCACCGGACUAUCUUACUUCAGAAAAUGCGGACGAGUGAGUCAAAUGAUUCGAAGCAAUUGGACUUCCCCAGUGUCUAGGUGCAAUUGAUUUACCUAUGUAAACAUCGGCUCUGCUGGGCGCUGCAAAGACUCCACUAUAUUUUAAAAGUCCAGCCUGGCAAGGAAAAUGGUGUCUUAUCCGAUUCUUCAGCUUAUUCUUAUUCUUAUGCUUAUUGGGGACUCUGCCUUUCAAUUCUCCCCAACGCUGAUGAAGCCGUACCCAUUUUCCACAUCUGCAUCCGAAGAACAGCGAAAUUUUGACUAAAAUCUGUCCAAAGCUAGGCGAGUAGAAAAUACAUUUGGCCAUUUAAAGGCAAGAUUUCGGUUCAUUGGGAAAGACUACAAGAAUAAUAAUGCAGUUAUUCCAGCAACAUUUUAAAUUAGCACAACAAACAUGGCAACGGGCUGCAAGUGACCUACGCGAACAACCAAAUCGGACAAAUAUGUCUGCAGACUUUAGCCAGCCUGCUGAAAAAAUAAGAGGAGCUAUUUCCCAAUAUUGUUUAAAU